CCUACGGGGGGCAGCAGUGAGGAAUAUUGGUCAAUGGGCGCGAGCCUGAACCAGCCACGUAGCGUGAAGGAUGACUGCCCUACGGGUUGUAAACUUCUUUUAUAAAGGAAUAAAGUGCGGCACGUGUGCCUUUUUGUAUGUACUUUAUGAAUACGGAUCGGCUAACUCCGUGCCAGCAGCCGCGGUAAUACGGAGGAUCCGAGCGUUAUCCGGAUUUAUUGGGUUUAAAGGGAGCGUAGAUGGGUUGUUAAGUCAGGUGUGAAAGUUUGCGGCUCAACCGUAAAAGUGCAAUUGAUACUGGCAGCCUUGAGUACAGUUGAGGUAGGCGGAAUUCGUGGUGUAGCGGUGAAAUGCUUAGAUAUCACGAAGAACUCCGAUUGCGAAGGCAGCCUACUAAACGGCAACUGACAUUGAUGCUCGAAAGUGUGGGUAUCAAACAGGAUUAGAUACCCUGGUAGUC
rnacentral:rRNA from 1 species